rnacentral:lncRNA from 1 species
CUUUACAAAGGAGUUUCUGUGCCUACCAAAGCUGGAGACUUCCUUCUUUGUGUCAGGGAAACUCGAGCAAGGCGUCAGAGGCAUGCGAGAGGCUCUGCUACCUUUGGAAGCCGACCGACAGUCAAGGGUAUGCGCCAAGAAUCUUUUCCCUAACAGAAAAGUGCAGCUUUUCUAGAAUUACGUCGAAAAAGAUUCAGACAGACGUUUUCGAUUCCAGAAACGCCAUGAAGGAGGUUCAAGUAGUUGUGUUCGACUCUAGAAACGCCAUGAAGGAGGUUCAAGUAGUUGUUUUCGCCUGGCAUUUUGUAUUGCGCGUUUAACAUUCACCUUUUCAGAGGGGAGCUUGCCUUUAUUGACGAAACUACCUCGGUGCGACUUCCUACAAGACAAUCGAGAGUCGCUGGGGGAUUUCCUCGCCACUUUUUUCCAAGGAAAUCACAGGCUGCGGGACAUUUAGCACGACCUUUCUCACACAUCAGUUUGCCGUACACGCCUGUGUUGCACCUCGUCUUGCCUUUGAUUGGGUGUGCUGUCCACGUUAUGGCUGUCUUCUCUCCUUGUCUUAUUUGGAACGGGUGUAUCUAGUCGCAUUUCAGCAAGAAACCUGUUCUUCGCUGCCGUCUUGAGCAACCGCGCUGGUCCCUUGCCUCUGCUUCCUUCCCUUAUUCUCAAGUUCAGUGCUGUGGUCGCCCGGGGACCGUUCCUAGAGACGAGCACUUGUAUCCAUCCUACACAGCGACCUCGAUUGACUGUGUUUCCUGGAUCAAAGUUCGGCCGUUCUUUCGCAAUACCCUGGCGAGCUUCCCAUGUGAAAUGCUCGCCCCGUCUUCACUUUGUUCGCGUUUGUCGAGUACACAUCUCGGUUCCUUUUCGGAAGAGUUCGAGCGCAGGAACUGUGUGAACGGUUCGUCCGCCUGGCUUGUGUGGGUCGUCAGGCCGCAACCAUCUCUCGGUUCGCCGACACCCUCUUCAAGAUGCGACCCCUGCAUCGGUGGAGUUCCGCAGUUAGCGGCACUCAGGCAGACUUGUGGGU